GUCGGCGCUCUGCCCUGCCCCUCCAGUGGCCGAUUCUUCAUCGACUCCGGCAUAUGAGGGCAUAGGUAAAGAAAGAGAAUUACCUGCAAGUCAUGGUUGUUAUAGGCCGAGGGAGCUUGAUACGCUCAAGGGGUGCCAUGUGGAGUUGUUUUCCAAGAUGUAGGGGCUUGACUUCGACACCAUCUAGCAGUCAGUACACAGUUUGAUGAUCUGGGCUCCCAUGACUGCCUCCUUGGCUAGGACUACUUAGGGCACUAAAGGAGAGGUGCAUCGAUGACCUAUGACCAUUCAGGCUCAAGAUCUUGUUGAAGAUGGAUGGCAUGGUGAACCCGAAGACCAUCAUAACUGGCGAUGCAAGCAGUAACAGAAGCUGACAUGUCUUUGAUUAGAUUCAUCAACUUAGUUUGUUUAGUUUUGUUGUUUCAAUAUUACAGGAGAGCAUAGGCUAAGAAAGAGAUUUACCUAGAAGUCAUUGUUGUUACAAGAUGAUGGAACUUGAUGCGCUCUAGGGGUGCCAUGUGGAGUCGGUUGUCAAGCCGAAUGGUCUCGACAUCGACACAAUCCAACACUCUGUACAUGGUGUGAUGAUCUGGGCUCCCAUGACUGCGUCCCCGAGCAGAACGAGUUAGUUCCACGACGACCACCUGGCUGGUGCACCGCUGGAUGCUAUUUGAUCCAAUUGGCUACGCCUUUGGCUGGGGCAUGUUCAACAUGGAUGACAUCAGAUGGGGAAGCCCUUACGGUGUCGGAGUCUUCCCUCGUGAUGAUAGAUAGAUUUUCCCUUGCCGAGCAUCAAGGCUGGGGGAACUGGAUACGCUCAAGCUGGAGGGCCUCGACAUCGAGACCAUCCAGCAAUCUAUAUACAGUGUGAUGAUCUGGGCGCCCAUGACUGCGUCCAUACUCAGCUGGACUGUGAUCACCUGGCUGGUGCAUCACGGGAUGCUAUUUGAUCCAAUCGACUGCACCUUUGGCUUGGGCAUACUCAACAUGGACGGCAUCACCACUUAGG